rnacentral:rRNA from 1 species
CCCUUAGACGUUCUGGGCCGCACGCGCGCUACACUGACCAGUGCAACAAGCAUCCGUCCUUGGCCGACAGGCCCGGGCAAUCUUUGAACGCUGGUCGUGAUGGGGAUAGACUUUUGCAAUUUUUGGUCUUCAACGAGGAAUUCCUAGUAAACGCAAGUCAUCAACUUGCAUUGAUUACGUCCCUGCCCUUUGUACACACCGCCCGUCGCACCUACCGAUUGAAUGGUCCGGUGAAAUCCUCGGAUCGAGCUGUGGGGCAACCCCGGUUCGAGAAGUUGAUUAAACCUUACCAUUUAGAGGAAGGUGAAGUCGUAACA